rnacentral:lncRNA from 1 species
AAAACUAAAUCCUGGAGAUAUGGUAUAAAUUGAUGAAGGUAUAACGAUGAGAUAAUAGCAACACUUGAACCCAAGAUUCCUGACUCGCAGUCCCUGCUGCUUUAGACUGGAGACUUCUAAGAUGACCCUAGAGAUACUGAAAGAGGAAUGCUAUAGUCAUUUGAAUUUAUGGAAUAAAUUCAGGCAGGAGUAUAGCAUGGUGUAUAAUGGAAAAUGAACUUGAUUUCAAAGGUAAGUCAAAUCAGAAGCUACUUCUUGUUCAGUAACUCCAGACCUUAGGGAAUCUGCUAGUCAUUGUCACAUUCAUGAAAAUAAAAUCGGAGAUUUAGAAAUCGAAGGACCCCAGAAAUUAUCUAAUCCAAUGCUCUCAUUUUAUAGGCAAGAAAAUGUAGACUCACAAGGUAAAGGAACAAUAAAUAAGCAGGCAUAUGGAUUUGUUCAGAAUUACCCCUAUAUGUAUUCAGCAUUCUUGCUAUGAUGGGAAUGAUUAGAAUCCAGAGCCUGUCUGGGAUGAGGGCAGCUUUCUCACCUUAAAGGACCCUCUGCUUGCUAUAAACAUUGUUGCUGUUGUGCUGAUUUCUUUCUUUCAAUUUUAUCUCAUUUUCUGCCACUUCAAUAGGGCUGUGGCAUAGAAAGAAAUUGGUACGACUAGCCAAACUAGAGUCUGAGGCCAUUCCUGGUUUUAUUUUGGACAAUCUCACAAGUUUGUUCCAUGGUCACUUUGCAGAGAACUUAGUUCCUCUUGAGAUCAGGUGGGUUUUCUUGUCCCCUUUUUCUUGUUCCAUGGAGGUUCCUCAUCCUCCUUACAAACUAGAAUCACUUGAUGCAGACAUGGGGAUGGGGAUGGGGGAGGAGUCUUUUGGACACUUUGGUUUUUAAUCUGUUUAGUCACAGGUUGGUAAGAGUAGUGAAACACAAAAGUUAUAUUUUAAACCCUCAGAUAAUCGAUUCUUAAACUCCACCACUGACCAUCAUCAUGUCAAUGGGGCCAAAGAAGGAAGAUUCAUUUGGAAAGACAUUUUCAUUUUUUAAUUUAUGUAGUCAGUAUUUAUUUUUCAUUUUGCUUGACUAUAUUUAAUUGUUUAUUUUUUAUUAGUUUGUUGCUUACAUUGAAAUUUCCAAGUAUCUCACUCAGAUGCUUUUAUUUUAGCCAUAGACCACAAGAAAAAAGAAUAUUCUCUAUUUUUAGGAAAUCACCUGAGUUGAUGGUAUCCAUUUGGGUAGAAAUUGCUAUGGAAGAAGCACAAGGUCAAAAAGAGGUAAAAUGGACUGCCUUGAGAAACUGUGGAUUUCCCUUCCUUCAAGACAAGUGA